rnacentral:rRNA from 1 species
AUUGAACGCUGGCGGCAUGCCUUACACAUGCAAGUCGAACGGUAACAGGUCUUCGGAUGCUGACGAGUGGCGAACGGGUGAGUAAUACAUCGGAACGUGCCUAGUAGUGGGGGAUAACUACUCGAAAGAGUGGCUAAUACCGCAUGAGAUCUACGGAUGAAAGCAGGGGAUCGCAAGACCUUGUGCUACCAGAGCGGCCGAUGGCAGAUUAGGUAGUUGGUGGGAUAAAAGCUUACCAAGCCGACGAUCUGUAGCUGGUCUGAGAGGACGAUCAGCCACACUGGGACUGAGACACGGACCAGACUCCUACGGGAGGCAGCAGUGGGGAAUUUUGGACAAUGGGCGAAAGCCUGAUCCAGCAAUGCCGCGUGCAGGAUGAAGGCCUUCGGGUUGUAAACUGCUUUUGUACGGAACGAGAAGCCCCGGGUUAAUACCCUGGGGUCAUGACGGUACCGUAAGAAUAAGCACCGGCUAACUACGUGCCAGCCGCCGCGGUAA